UCACCGCCUCCCUCCAUCUCUGGUUGUACUUGACUGCAGCUCUUACAGCAGAAGACCUCCACAAACCCCAGCUCUCGUCCGUCAACAUGCCAGACUGUAAUGACUGCGUGCCGGCACCGUGCCAGGUUAUCAAAGAGGACGUUGAUAAAUGUGUCAGAGAGAAGGGAGCAGAGGGCUGCAAAGAUCUGGUAGAUGCCUUCCAGGCCUGUAUAAAGACUCUGUCUGAGGGAUCAUAAUACAAAAUGAAGACAGCUUAAAAAAAAAUUCACGCCUUCACUUCCCAGUCCUUCGCUCUCCCAUCCCCUUCCCUGCUUAUUGCACUGGACUGAACCAUCUGAAAACUGAAGAUGGGGGUGAUGAUACUGCACUUCUGAUACUAUCUACUUCUGUGAAUGUGUAUUUUUGUAUUAUAAAUGUUAGAAUUCCAUUAAGGGCUGAACAAUAACACUGAUUAUCUAUGCACUGUCAUUUUAUAUGCAUAAGGUACAAUAAAAGUCAAUGCACCAAA